rnacentral:rRNA from 2 species
UCUGGUGAUUAUAGAGCGGGGGUCACACCUCUUCCCAUCUCGAACAGAGAAGUUAAGCUCCGCCUCGCCGAUGGUACUACUACCGCAGGGUUGUGGGAGAGUAGGUCGUCGCCAGAU